UACGUAGGUGGCAAGCGUUACUCGGAAUUACUAGGCGUAAAGCGCAGGUAGGUGGUUGGGUAAGUCCGCAAUGAAAGCUCCCGGCUUAACUGGGAGAGGUUUGUGGAUACUGCUUGACUCGAGUGUGGGAGAGGUAACUGGAAUUCCCGGUGUAGCGGUGAAAUGCGUAGAGAUCGGGAGGAACACCAACGGCGAAAGCAGGUUACUGGCCCAAUACUGACACUGAGCUGCGAAAGCUAGGGGAGCAAACAGG
rnacentral:rRNA from 1 species